GGAGAGGUUCCCGAGCGGUCAAAGGGAUCAGACUGUAAAUCUGACGCCUCACAGCUUCGAAGGUUCGAAUCCUUCUCUCUCUCC
rnacentral:tRNA from 1 species